rnacentral:rRNA from 1 species
UACGUAGGGGGCAAGCGUUGUCCGGAUUUAUUGGGCGUAAAGAGCUCGUAGGCGGUUUGUCGCGUCUGCUGUGAAAACCCGAGGCUCAACCUCGGGCCUGCAGUGGGUACGGGCAGACUAGAGUGCGGUAGGGGAGAUUGGAAUUCCUGGUGUAGCGGUGGAAUGCGCAGAUAUCAGGAGGAACACCAAUGGCGAAGGCAGAUCGCUGGGCCGUAACUGACGCUGAGGAGCGAAAGCAUGGGGAGCGAACAGG